GUCCACGCAGUAAACGAUGAUUACUAGGAGUUUGCGAUACAAUGUAAGCUCUACAGCGAAAGCGUUAAGUAAUCCACCUGGGGAGUACGCCGGCAACGGUGAAACUCAAAGGAAUUGACGGGGGCCCGCACAAGCGGAGGAACAUGUGGUUUAAUUCGAUGAUACGCGAGGAACCUUACCCGGGUUUGAACGUAGUCUGACCGGAGUGGAAACACUCUUUCUAGCAAUAGCAGAUUACGAGGUGCUGCAUGGUUGUCGU
rnacentral:rRNA from 1 species